rnacentral:rRNA from 1 species
AUAACUGCUAGAUCUGACGUUACCUAAAGAAUCAGCACCGGCUAACUCUGUGCCAGCAGCCGCGGUAAUACAGAGGGUGCAAGCGUUAAUCGGAAUUACUGGGCGUAAAGGGUCUGUAGGCGGAUUAUUAAGUCGGAUGUGAAAUCCCCGGGCUCAACCUGGGAACGGCAUUCGAUACUGGUAGUCUAGAGUGUGCAAGAGGAUGGGGGAAUUCCUGGUGUAGCAGUGAAAUGCGUAGAGAUCAGGAGGAACAUCAAUGGCGAAGGCACCUUUCUGGGGCAACACUGACGCUGAGAGACGAAAGCGUGGGGAGCAAACAGGAUUAGAUACCCUGGUAGUCCACGCCCUAAACGAUGUCAACUAACUGUUCGGAGUCACUAAGAUUCUGAGUAGUGAAGCUAACGCGAUAAGUUGACCGCCUGGGGAGUACGGCCGCAAGGUUGAAACUCAAAGAAAUUGACGGGGGCCCGCACAAGCGGUGGAGUAUGUGGUUUAAUUCGAUGCAACGCGAAGAACCUUACCCGGUCUUGACAUGGUAGGAAUCUUGUAGAGAUACGAGAGUGCCUUCGGGAACCUACACACAGGUGCUGCACGGCUGUCGUCAGCUCGUGUCGU